CAGAACCCCUUCUGGAGCCACUAGGAUCUCGUUCAAGGCUGGUCCACCUCACACGAAUCCUACCCCAUGGGCGCUGGGAAGGGUUUUGAACAUGUUGCAGACUGGUCUCAAACUCCCAAACUCCUGAGCUCAAGCAAUCCCAGCUCAAGCUUGGUGGCUCUAAACAGUUCUGUUCAAGGGAGCUCUUCUCAGCCAGGCCUUCAUCUUUCUUCCAUGUUGGAUGCUUCCUGACCUUGAAAAUUGGACUCCAAGUUCUUUA